rnacentral:tRNA from 1 species
GGAGGUGUGGCUCAGUGGUAGAGUGUGUGCCUAGCACGCACGAGGUCCUGGGUUCAAUCCCCAGUACCUCCA